AUUCCAGCUCCAAUAGCGUAUAUUAAAGUUGUUGCAGUUAAAAAGCUCGUAGUUGGAUUUCUGUUUCUAGUGUCCGGUCCGUCAAAUUGAUGUGUACUAGUGACGUUGGAUUCAUCUUUUGUGGGGCUGUAUGCUGGCAUUAAUUUGUUGGUGUAUUGGGCUCGCAUCGUUUACUGUGAAAAAAUUAGAGUGUUUAAAGCAGGCGUUCGCUUCUGAAUACAUUAGCAUGGAAUAAUAAGAUAUGACUUGUGUGGUCUAUUUUGUUGGUUUGCACACGCGAGUAAUGAUUAAUAGGGACAGUUGGGGGUAUGCAUAUUUCAGCGUCAGAGGUGAAAUUCUUGGAUCGCUGAAAGAUGAGCUUAGGCGAAAGCAUUUACCAUGGAUGUUUUCAUCG
rnacentral:rRNA from 1 species